GGAAACAAAGGCAAUGGAAAAUUCCACCAAGGACCAGGUUUGGACAGCUGGAGGCAGCCCGGGAUUGGCAGAUGCUGGUGGACAUGUACCAACGAU